UGUCGUUAGUAUCAGUACUGACUUCCUGGAAUCAGACCUGCAACAAACAUGGACCACUGUGGACGUGACUUAUGUGCCGAUGACAGCCCAGUGACCACUUUAUGAGCUGCAGCUAGAUCUCCUCCAGCAGGGAACAGCGCAGCCCAGCACAGCAGCAAACUAGACAUGUCUGUUGGAGACUUCACAAUGGUUCAGCAAGCAAACAUACUUCCCUUAAGGCCCUUGGGACAAACACAGCAUCAAGCAGAGGGACUCCAAUAACCCGGUUGGAGAAACGCAGAAAGAGGUGACCUGAUGGAGCAACUGACGGGUGGAGCGGUGGAGCAUCAAAUGGAAAAACUGGAAAGGGCAGAAAGGACGGUUUUUCAUAAAUACUUUGGGAUAUGCAGUCAUGAAACAACAGAAUGUAUAAUUACAGGACAGAGCCUUUAGUGUCAUCACACAUAGGUUUAGGAAGAGUGGUUAUGAAGCCCCUUCUUCCUCGUACUACGUGACUCCAUGUUGACACUGAGCAAAAGCGAACAGACCUGGGAAACCAGCUGGAACAAGUCCACCAUAUGUCAAUCAAAGUAAGCCAUUUCCGCUCAGCGUACUUAGCUUAGGCUAACUUAUGAUGGUGAAUUAAUAUUACUUUACAUUCAUUCUUAUCAAAUCCGUCCAAGCUUCCCUUUUUAGCCAAGUGUCACUAGGAAAACAACAUCCAAACAAGUGCAGCCAGAUCUGAAAUGAGGACAAGCAUGAGUUGUGGACCAGCCAUCACUUGAGGUGUAUUUCUGCGGUUGUAGCGAUUGAGAUUAAAAGAAAACCCCGUUGCACCUCCACGUUGGCGUAAUAGGCCAACGAGACCUUACCAGUCUCUCUAUGCUUUCUUUUACUCUACAACUUCAUCAAAUGUACUCGUAGCAAAAUGUCCAUGGUCCAAAUGCCUAAAUGAAUAGUGGUCACAUGAUUUAUGUUCACGUGAGAAUGCUGAAUCAUUAGCAGAGACCCCCCCACCAUGAGGUUCCUGUUGGCCAACCUGGCUGUUUAUUUCUGCGGCAAAAUUUAAAUAUAGUGGUCAAUGUAGAUUCACUUGCUUUUGGAGCCUGCCCCCACUGGUGAGUCAGUGAACUGCAGUUCUUAGCACGAGUGAUAUAUUGUUGGUGCAUGCAUGUAACCAAUACAAGAUGGGAGGAUGAUAAAAACAUUCAGAAUAAACAUA